rnacentral:ncRNA from 1 species
UAUCUGGUUGAUCCUGCCAGUAGUCAUAUGCUUGUCUCAAAGAUUAAGCCAUGCAUGUCUAAGUAUAAGCAAUUUAUACAGUGAAACUGCGAAUGGCUCAUUAAAUCAGUUAUCGUUUAUUUGAUAGUUUCUUUACUACAUGGAAUACCUGUGGUAAUUCUAGAGCUAAUACAUGCUUAAAAUCCCAAACUUACGAAGGU